rfam:Erinaceus europaeus unplaced genomic scaffold scaffold00740, whole genome shotgun sequence
CCAAAGGCUCUUUUCAGAGCCACCCGUCUCUAAUGAAAUAGCUUG